rnacentral:rRNA from 1 species
UGGCGAACGGGUGAGUAACGCGUGAGGAACCUACCUCAAAGAGGGAGACAACAGUUGGAAACGACUGCUAAUACCGCAUAAGCCCACGGGUCGGCAUCGACCUGAGGGAAAAGGAGCAAUCCGCUUUGAGAUGGCCUCGCGUCCGAUUAGCUAGUUGGUGAGGUAACGGCCCACCAAGGCGACGAUCGGUAGCCGGACUGAGAGGUUGAACGGCCACAUUGGGACUGAGACACGGCCCAG